AGAGACAGAAUGAGAUAGAGAGACAGGAAGAGAGUGAAACAGUAGAGAGAGAAAGAGAAAAAGAAAGAGAGUUAGUAAGACAAAAUUUCCAACCUAAUACUGGCCGUGAGUAGCAGACUGACAUUUAAAGAAGAGAGAGAAAAAGUCAGACAGGCUGGUGUGAUAUGUGAUAUUUUUCAGCUGUUUCCCUCCAAAUGAACUCAGAGGACAGGCUCCGGUAAGAAACAGCACUGUGAACAGUUCCAUUAGUGUUUUUGCGAGUAUUUGCAUGUGUGUGUCUCGUUUUGUCACCAUGUGGAAUGUCUGAUAUCUGGUGGAGUGCAUGGCUGUGUGUUCAUGUUUUACUAUCCUGGUGGGGACUGACAACCGUAAAACCUUAUCUUUAAUCAAUUGAUGUGAAGUAAAAGGAUGUUUGACUUAAGGGUUAGGUUUUGAGUAGAUGUUAUAAUACGGUUAGGGUUAGGUUUUGUGUUUGUUAUAAUAUGGUUAGGAUUUAGGUGUUGAGUAGAUGUUGUAUUAGGGUUAGGGUUUAGGUUUUGUGUAGAUGUUAUAAUAUGGUUAGGUUUGGUCUCAAAUAAGAUUGAUAUGGUGUCAGCUCACUUGGUCAAGGUCCCGAGAAGAGGGGAAAAGUUAACAUGUAGUGCAGGGUAUAGCUAGUUGAAUGUCCAUUCCCGUUUGUAAAAGUGGCACUGUUGAGACAAAAUGGGUCCCGAUAGAAUUGUGUAUUAUGUCAUGUGUAUUAAUUGUCUUUUAUUUUACUGCUUAACUUUUAUUUAAACUGGCACGGGAAUUGAGAAGUGAAUCUCGUUUCAGAUGGCGACCUGGCCAAAGACAUGAACAACUGCAAGACAACACUCAGUUACACAUGAAUAUGACAAUCAAAAGCAUUAUGUAAAAUGCAGUAAGCAAGAGAUGAAUCUGUUUCCAUAUUAGAUGAUAAUUCCCAAGGUCUGUUUCACUGAAUAUAUUCUCAAAAAUGUUACAUACAAAUACAUCUUUAUGACUGUAGAGCAAACAAUAGUAAAAAUUACAAAGUAAACAUACAUAACAUGAAACAUCUCUUGGAGUGUUACACCAUCUUGAAUACAAUAAUGCCUGAAAGUAUGUUAACCCUUUGUGCAGUAAUAUAUAUUUUUGUGUUCACCAUGAAAUCCUUAUUUAAUCAGAACCAGCCUUUUUUAUCUGUAAUAACAGAUUUAUAGGCUCCAAUUCCAUGUUGGUUUAGAAUAAACUAUACAUGCAAUAGGAAACCAAUGUUAAAAAGUAAUUAGUGCAUGUACAAAAAUAAGUAAAACCCCAAGUUGUCGUGAUUCUGGAGAAGGCUAUACAACCAUCUCAAAAUGAUUUGAACUCCAUUAGCAUGCUGAAAGGAUUUACCAUGACAACAACUUGCCUAAGUGAACGCCCCCAAAAUAUCCCCAAGAGCCCAAGCAAAAUAAUAAAUCAGGCAAAUGCCAACUUAAACAUAACAUCUGGAUCAUAACAUUAUUUGCAAACCUCCCUAGCUGCAUCUUAGGUUACUGUGAAUGUGUCAACAAUAAGAAGAACCCAGGAAUCGACAUGGCAUUAAUGGGAGGAUCGCUAGGAAGAAGCCUCUGCUGUCAAAACAGAACCAAAAUGCCCGUCUUAACUUUACCAGUGACCACCUAAACUUUUACCACCAAUAGAACCUUCCCGACAGUCAAGCAUGUUGGUGGGAGUUUCAAGAUUUGGGGCAGCUUUUUGUCUUCUGGACCAGGUCGACUGAACAUUGUGAAGGAAACCAGGAAUUCUGAGGUACAGAACGUCAGGCCAUAAGCCAAGGAGAUAAACUGGUCUGAAAAUGGGUCUUCCAACAAAACAAUGACCCAAAGCAUUCAUGGACUAAAGAAUGGAACAGGAGAAAGAAGAUUUGUGUUUUGGAUUAACCAAGUGAUCUUAACCAAAUUAUUAUUGCCUAUAGGAUACUGCCUAUAGGAUACUGCCUAUAGGAUAAUGCCUAUAUGAAAUGUUUACUCCAAGUUGUUGCUGCUAAUUAUCGUUGCUAAUCUGACUACCCCCCUGGACCAGGACAGGAGGAAUCAGGGCACCAGGUCAGAGUGGACCAGAAGAACAAAACAGAGUUGGCUGGGACUCCCUGACAUCCAGAAGGCCCAGACAUUGGUUCAUGUUUGUAUACAAGGCUGAACAGCAGGAACUUACAGGCUUACUGUGAUAUCCCAAGAAAGAACUGGUUUGGGCUUUUACACAGCCCACUC
ensembl:lncRNA